rnacentral:rRNA from 1 species
CCUACGGGUGGCAGCAGUGAGGAAUAUUGGUCAAUGGGCAGAAGCCUGAACCAGCCACGUAGCGUGCGGGAUGAAGGCCCUACGGGUCGUAAACCGCUUUUGCACGGGGAUAACACCCUCCACUUGUGGAGGUCUGCAGGUACCGUGCGAAUAAGGGCCGGCUAAUUCCGUGCCAGCGGCCGCGGUAAUACGGAGGGCCCGAGCGUUAUCCGGAUUCAUUGGGCCUAAGGGGUGCGUAGGCGGGCGUUCAAGUCAGCGGGAAAAUCGCGCGGCUCAACCGCGCCCCGCAGUUGAAACUGGAAGCCUUGAGUUCACAACAGGCAGGCGGAAUUCGUGGUGUAGCGGUGAAAUGCAUAGAGAUCACGAGGAACCCCGAUUGCGAAGGCAGCCUGCCGGGGUGCGACUGACGCUGAGGCUCGAAGGUGCGGGUAUCAAACAGGAUUAGAUACCCCAGUAGUC